GACGAACGCUGGCGGCGUGCUUAACACAUGCAAGUCGAACGGAAAGGCCCUGCUUUUGUGGGGUGCUCGAGUGGCGAACGGGUGAGUAACACGUGAGUAACCUGCCCUUGACUUUGGGAUAACUUCAGGAAACUGGGGCUAAUACCGGAUAGGAGCUCCUGCUGCAUGGUGGGGGUUGGAAAGUUUCGGCGGUUGGGGAUGGACUCGCGGCUUAUCAGCUUGUUGGUUGGGUAGUGGCUUACCAAGGCUUUGACGGGUAGCUGGCCUGAGAGGGUGACCGGCCACAUUGGGACUGAGAUACGGCCCAGACUCCUACGGGAGGCAGCAGUGGGGAAUAUUGCACAAUGAGCGGAAGCCUGAUGAAGAGACGCCGCGUGCGGGAUGACGGCCUUCGGGUUGUAAACCGCUUUCGCCUGAGACGAAGCGUGAGUGACGGUAAUGGGUAAAGAAGCACCGGCUAACUACGUG
rnacentral:rRNA from 1 species